UUCGCUUGUGCAGGCUCAGUUGGAAAACAUGUUUCCACAUACACUGCAGGUUAUGGUUAUAAGGCUUAAGCUCCUCCUGGAAAGAUCUUAGCAUUAAAAAUAAGGCAAAGGACACAGAUGUG